CUUUCAGCCAUCGCCCCGUGCCCCAUGCUCGUGCUCGUCUUCCACACACGGACGGGAGAGGAGCUCCCGAUCCCGGUGGCCAAGGCGACCUCAUCGCUGUUGCUUGAGCCUUCUCAGACAGCCGUCGUCGGCGACCACCUCCAGCCGGACCUCCUCCAACACGCCCCAGCUCCUCCUGACACCAGCCGCCGCCUCGCACUCCUUUGCCUUCGCCGCCCCAAACCAGAUGUCGCAGCACAGCCUCGACCCCGUGCGCCUUCAACCUCCUGAGCGUAUAGCUCGCCCUCGCCGAACCCUCCGCCGGCGACCAAGACCAGCAGCUCCACAUCGCCCUUCCUCGACGGCGAUCUGCCGGACCAGGAGCCUCGCCACUAGAAGCCACGCGCCGCUUCCUUCUCGUGCUGGCAGCAAGCCCCAACGCUGGCGCCCAUCUCCAAGCCGCCGCUGUGCCUCGCGACCCCUCCUACAAGUUGUUGUCAUUGCUGAAUCAGGGAACGCCAUGGCCGUCUCCGACCUGAACUCCUGUGCCCGCACCUGCAGACCGCCGCCCGGCCACGUCUCCAUGUCCCUUGGACGCUAGUGUUGUUUCUUGUUAGUUCUGGUAACGUCGCGUUUGUGAGCAUCCGUUCGACUACGUUCGUUUUGUCUUCUUCAUGGACUCGUUCUUCUUCCUUGCGGGAU